rnacentral:rRNA from 1 species
GAUGAACGCUGGCGGCGUGCUUAACACAUGCAAGUCGAACGGAAAGGCCCAAGCUUGCUUGGGUGCUCGAGUGGCGAACGGGUGAGUAACACGUGGGUGAUCUGCCCUGCACUUUGGGAUAAGCCUGGGAAACUGGGUCUAAUACCGGAUAGGACCAUCGUUUAGUGUCGGUGGUGGAAAGUUUUUCGGUGUGGGAUGAGCUCGCGGCCUAUCAGCUUGUUGGUGGGGUAAUGGCCUACCAAGGCGUCGACGGGUAGCCGGCCUGAGAGGGUGUACGGCCACAUUGGGACUGAGAUACGGCCCAGACUCCUACGGGAGGCAGCAGUGGGGAAUAUUGCACAAUGGGCGCAAGCCUGAUGCAGCGACGCCGCGUGGGGGAUGACGGCCUUCGGGUUGUAAACUCCUUUCGCCAAGGACGGAGCGUUUUGUGACGGUACUUGGAGAAGAAGCACCGGCUAACUACGUG